UAGAUACACAAAUAUCAUAGAAGCACAGAAGUUACAUAUGCUUUUAUUAAGAGUUAACAAUUUAAAAAAUAACCUAAUGAUAUGCAUGCUAAAUUUGUAAACAAUUGAAAUGAGUCACUUUCUUCUGGUAACACCUUCCUGGGUUAUUCCUUUGUAGUUGUGAUCCAACACGGAUGUGGUGUGGUUGUAUCAGUGACUGCAGGUAGUCUGUGGAGCAUUACACAGUUCUUUACGGAAACAGCAGCUGCAAGUGACCAGGACCACUGACAGCAGAAGGCGCCUCACUUACCACGGAAAUAUUGCCAUAUGUCAAAAUCAUCUUCAUAAACCAAAUGUGGAGAUAAUGCACACAAAGCAAAUGUGACUGAAGACACAAACUCUUAAUCACUCACAAGCUAACUGGCUGCACUGUGGAUCAUUUGCAGUAAAUCUUAAGUUCAAAGUCUUAUUAAUGUUGCUCUCAGUUGCUGGCGCAAAUUCAUAACUUCGAGAUGCAACAGCUUCAGGUCCUUAGAAUGGUCUUUCUGUAUUGUAUUCAGUCGAUCUUUCAGAAAAGCUACCAGACCGCACAGGAGGGGCAUCAAGCAGCAGAAAGAAGAGUGCCAGGUACUGCGGAAACCGUAAAGAACCAGUGCAAAUUCCUGACACCUAUAUUCUGUGGAGCCUCAACGUGAGAUAGAGAGACUGCCCAUCAAACCACAGCCAUAUUCAUCAAGCUUUGAGCCGAUCCGGUGAAGGAGAAAUGAGCACUGCAUACAUUAUUCAGAGAAAGGGACC